rnacentral:rRNA from 1 species
UAGUCCACGCCGUAAACGAUGAUUACUCGCUGUAGGCGAUACACAGUCUGUGGCUAAGCGAAAGUUUUAAGUAAUCCACCUGGGGAGUACGAUCGCAAGAUUGAAACUCAAAGGAAUUGACGGGGGCCCGCACAAGCGGAGGAACAUGUGGUUUAAUUCGAUGAUACGCGAGGAACCUUACCUGGACUUAAAUGUACGUUGCAUGGAUCAGAGAUGGUCCUUUCUUCGGACUACGUACAAGGUGCUGCAUGGUUGUCGUCAGCUCGUGCCGUGAGGUGUCGGGUUAAGUCCCACAACGAGCGCAACCCUUGUCCUUAGUUGCCAGCACGUUAUGGUGGGAACUCUAAGGAGACUGCCGGUGACAAACCGGAGGAAGGUGGGGAUGACGUCAAGUCAUCAUGGCCCUUAUGGCCUGGGCUACACACGUGCUACAAUGGUGGAUACAAAGGGUUGCCAACCCGCGAGGGGGAGCUAAUCUCAAAAAAUCCAAUCUCAGUCCGGAUUGGAGUCUGCAA